rnacentral:lncRNA from 1 species
AAUUAUUCUCUCUCUAGACUGAGACUCCUGAAUCAACCAUUCCUGGAGUGGUGGUGGCAUCCUCAGUAACAGAUUUGGACAAUUCAUUUGUAGGAUCCUCUCAGCUUUCCUAGCCAGGGGCAACAAUCAACAACUUGAAGCAGGUUCUGUGGAAGAAAGGUGAAAUAUAGACCUUCACUGCUUCAAAAGUCUACCUUGGAGAUAAGAAGACUGAAAUACAAAAGAAGGUGUGCAACACUGAAUGGUGACAUCUGAUUGACAUUUCUGCAGACUAAUUCCAAAUGAGUGGUACAAUGUUCCACAUCAUGGAUUACUGAUGUGUGUACAGUUCUGUGGGCAGAAUAUUUUGCUCAUGCAACUUCUAUUUGCUAGGUGUAUCCAUUGGCUGAGUAUCCAGUAUUGGCUGUUAUUUAAAUUGCUUAUUUGUUAUGCUGAUUACAUGGCCCUAAGGACCUAAGGAUGGAGGACUCCUACAGUGUUCUGCAUUAUUUUCCUGUAAUUGUUAAAUAUAGAAGUUCUGUGUUAACAAGAAUUGUUUCACUUUUUCUAUGUAUGAUGACACGCAGCCUUCACUGGUGCAAAGAUAAUUGCUUCAGGGAACUGAUCCUGCAAAUGUUGAACCUUUUGGGAUGAGUUCAGUGCUUAUUCCCUCUGAGCUCCACUGCCUACCAACCCUCAAGGUGAGCUGGUAACACUACAGAGAAACAAUGAGCACUGCUUUCAAGAAAAGAAAAAGACUGUACUAUUUACCAGAUACCUUACCAUGUAUGGUAAUGCUUAAAAUGAUAUCCAUUCAAACUGAUGGGAAAAUUUAGGUAGGCAAAAUGUACUGUCUCAAACUUGAGACCAAGACUCUGGGGAUACACUUCUGUCACAAGGGCAAUGGCAUAAUUAAUCCUGUCCAAAGACAACAAUACUUAUUAAUAGCUAUAUCCUAAUUUUAUUUCUAACACUGAUUUUGAAAACACUCUAUGGUA